CGCAGCUAGCUGCGAGAUUUGGUGUGAAUUGCAGGACACAUUGAGCACUGAUUUUUCGAACGCACAUUGCGGCCUCGGGUACUGCCCGGGGCCUCGCCUGUCUGAGGGUCGGAUAAGACUUGCAGAGGAAGCCCGCUUCCCAUUGGCCGCACCGGACGCCCCUUCACCGGGGAGUUCGCCGGCUCAAGUUGCUUUGGAACCUCUCCGCGGUCGAAGAGGAGCGCACGCUGCUCGUCGGCUGGAGAAGACCGACCAUUUCUUCUCCUCCGGGACGAGGUUGCGCGAAGAGACCACUGAGAGGAGAAGGUUCCUGUCGAAACGCGUUCCCGGACGCGUCGAUGAUAAUAAUUUUCUGUCGACCUCAGAUCAGACGAGACGACCCGCUGAAUUUAAGCAUAUC
rnacentral:rRNA from 1 species